UACGUAGGGGGCUAGCGUUGUCCGGAAUCAUUGGGCGUAAAGCGCGUGUAGGCGGUCCGGUAAGUCCGCUGUGAAAGUCGGGGGCUCAACCCUCGAAUGCCGGUGGAUACUGUCGGGCUAGAGUACGGAAGAGGCGAGUGGAAUUCCUGGUGUAGCGGUGAAAUGCGCAGAUAUCAGGAGGAACACCAAUUGCGAAGGCAGCUCGCUGGGACGUCACUGACGCUGAGACGCGAAAGCGUGGGGAGCAAACAGG
rnacentral:rRNA from 1 species